rnacentral:rRNA from 1 species
AUAAAAAAAAAUUUUUUUUUUUUAACAUUUUUUUUUAAAACUUUUUUAAAUUCGCGGUUAAUCUUUCAGGGGGUAAUUUUAAAUUUUUUUUUGGAAAUUCUUUUUCACUUUCCGGGGGCUUUAUUUCAAGGGGCCCCUGGGUUGAGUCCCAUUUUUUAGGCCCUGGUGAAGGUUUCCAGAAAAAAAAUUUUUGGUUGCUUCCGAUCCACGGAGGUUUAAGCCCUUGUUUUAAAAGAAUUUUUUCACUAUUUUUGAAAUUUUUUAAUCUGGGUUAAAUUUCAGGGCUUAUUAUAUUUAUUUGAGAUCUCUUCAUUCAGGUGCUAUACUUCAGGUGCCUUGGUUGAGUCCAUUUAGACCUGCUGAGGUCUCCAGAAUAUAUUGUUGCUACGAUCCACUGAGGUUCAGCCUUGUUCUAAAGAUUUGUUCAACUUUGUUGAACUUUUAACUCGGUUAUACUUCAGGGCUAUUCAUAUUUAUCUGAGAUCUCUUCAUUCAGGUGCUAUACUUCAGGUGCCUUGGUUGAGUCCAUUUAGACCUGCUGAGGUCUCCAGAAAUAUAUUUGUUGCUACGAUCCACUGAGGUUCAGCCCUUGUUCUAAAGAUUUGUUCAACUUUGUUGAACUUUUAACUCGGUUAUACUUCAGGGCUAUUCAUAUUUAUCUGAGAUCUCUUCAUUCAGGUGCUAUACUUCAGGUGCCUUGGUUGAGUCCAUUUUAGACCUGCUGAGGUCUCCAGAAAUAUAUUUGUUGCUACGAUCCACUGAGGUUCAGCCCUUGUUCUAAAGAUUUGUUCAACUUUGUUGAACUUUUUAACUCGGUUAUACUUCAGGGCUAUUCAUAUUUAUCUGAGAUCUCUUCAUUCAGGUGCUAUACUUCAGGUGCCUUGGUUGAGUCCAUUUUUUAGACCUGCUGAGGUCUCCAGAAAUAUAUUGUCAUUUUUCUAAAAAAUUUGGUACUUCAGGGCUAUCCCCAGGUUGGACUUGAGGAGGGCCUUGCACUUUAUACUUCAGGGCUAUCCCCAGGUUAGACUUGAGGAGGGCCUUGCACUUUAUACUUCAGGGCUAUCCCCCUGCCAGGUUACUUCAGGGGUCUCUUGAGAAUGGCUACUUCAGGGGUGUAUUCAGCUAUGCUUCCCUGGAGCAUGGUUACCUCAGGGUAGCUAUUCU